rnacentral:rRNA from 1 species
AAUAAAAAUAAUUUUAAUUUAAUAAAUAUUUUAAUGGGGGUUAAAGUAUUUUUUAGAGAAAAAAUUUAUAAUUUAAUAGUUUAUUAGUAUUGUGAAAGAAUUUUGAAAUAUUUUGAAAAUAAAAUUGUUUAAAAGUAAUUUUUAUUUAGUGUAUCUUGUGUAUCAGAGUUUAUUAAAAAUUUUUAAUUUAAUAUUAAUUUCUCGAAUUUAAAAGAGUUAAAUAAUUAUUAAAGUUAUUGUGUCAAAAAUAUUUUAAAUAAUUAUUUAGAAAUGAAAUGUUAAUCGUUUUUAAAUAUAUCUAGUUUUUAUAGAAAAAAUUUUAAUUUUAAAUUUAAAUGUAAAUUUAAUUAAUUAAUUAAUUAAAUAAUUAUUUAAAUUUUAUAUUUUAAGGGAUAAGCUUUAAAUUAAAUUUUUAUAAUAAUUAAUUAUUAUUUUAUUUUGAAAAUUUUAUAAUUUAUAUUGUUAAUAAAUUUUAUUUUAUUAUAAAUAAUUUCAUUUAAAAUAAAAUUUAAUUUAAAAUUUAAGUUUUUAUAUAAAAUUUGUUUUUUAUAAUAAAAAAUUAGAUAUAAUGAUAAAAUUAGUAUAUUAAUAAAAUUUAUUUUUAAUAUUAAUUUUUAUUAUUAAUUUAAUUAAUUAAAAGGAAUUCGGCAAAUAUUUAUUUUCACUUGUUUAUCAAAAACAUGUCUUUUUGUUAAAUAAUUUAAAGUCUAAUCUGCCCACUGAUUUAUAUUGAAGGGCUGCAGUAUUUUGACUGUACAAAGGUAGCAUAAUCAUUAGUCUCUUAAUUGGUGACUUGUAUGAAAGAUUGGAUGAGAAAUAUACUGUCUCUUAUUUAAUAUGUAGAAUUUAAUUUUUUAUUUAAAAAGUUAAAAUAAAUUAAAAAGACGAGAAGACCCUAUAGAGUUUGAUAAAUUUAUUUUAUAGAAUUUUAUUUAUGUUAAAAUUUAAUAAUUUUAUAAAGUUAUUUAUUUUAUUGGGGUGAUAAAAAAAUAAAUUUAACUUUUUUUAAUUAAUUAAACAAAAAUAGAUGAUUAAUUGAUCCAUUUUUAAUGAUUAUAAGAUUAAAUUACCUUAGGGAUAACAGCGUAAUUUUUUUUUUUAGUUCAUAUAAGAAAAAGAGUUUGCGACCUCGAUGUUGGAUUAAGAUAAAAUUUAAAUGCAAAAGUUUAAAAUUUUUGAUCUGUUCGAUCAUUAAAAUCUUACAUGAUCUGAGUUCAAACCGGUGUGAGCCAGGUUGGUUUCUAUCUUUUAAAAAAUUAAAUAUUUUAGUACGAAAGGAUCAAAUAUUUUAAUUAAAUUAAUUUAAAAAAUUGAUU